UACGUAGGGGGCUAGCGUUGUCCGGAUUUAUUGGGCGUAAAGAGCGUGUAGGCGGCCAGGCAGGUCUGCUGUGAAAACUCGAGGCUCAACCUCGAGACGUCGGCGGAAACCAUCUGGCUAGAGUCCGGAAGAGGAGAGUGGAAUUCCUGGUGUGGCGGUGAAAUGCGCAGAUAUCAGGAAGAACACCCGUGGCUAAGGCGGUUCUCUAGUACGGUACUGACGCUGAGACGCGAAAGCGUGGGGAGCGAACAGG
rnacentral:rRNA from 1 species